UCCGGCUUAACGCCGGCAGUCUCCCUAGAGUGCCCAACUGAAUGGUGGCAACUAAGGACAAGGGUUGCGCUCGUUGCGGGACUUAACCCAACACCUCACGACACGAGCUGACGACAGCCAUGCAGCACCUAACAACAAGUUCUCUUGCGAGCACUCCCACGUUUCUGCAGGAUUCUUGCCAUUUCUAGCCCAGGUAAGGUUCUUCGCGUUGCGUCGAAUUAAACCACAUGCUCCACCGCUUGUGCGGGCCCCCGUCAAUUCCUUUGAGUUUUAGCCUUGCGGCCGUACUUCCCAGGCGGGGUGCUUAAUGCGUUAGCUUCGGCACGGACGGAGUCGACACCGCCCACACCUAGCACCCAUCGUUUACAGCGUGGACUAC
rnacentral:misc_RNA from 1 species